rnacentral:lncRNA from 1 species
UUCGCCUAGGGUAUAACAAGCGCGCACACCCGUCCGUCAUGUUCCUCGUGCAGUGGUCCGCUAGUAGUAAACGCGACCCCUCAUGGGAACCAUACGACGACGUGCACAACCUGCCAGCGCUUCGUGCCUUCCUGAGGAGCCCAAGCUGGACCGCGUUCAGGCUAUCAGAUCGCUAUGCGUGGUUCAGAGCCAAGUUCCCGGAGCAUGCCCCAAGGAUCGUACAGUUCUUAGCAGAAUAGAGCUGCGGCUGGAUGUGUGUGUGUGUGUGUGUCAUCAUGUGUUUUCGAUAUGUCUGUGCGUCUUCGUUUUGUUUCUGCCAGUAGAUUACACCUGUCCGUUCAACGUCAGUGUGGUAUUGCAUUUCACGUUUUUGUUCGCGUAUGGGUAUUUGGGUUCCGUAUAAUCAUUUUUAGUCGUUUUCGUAGCAGCUUUUGUGUAUCUCCGGAUUCUUAAGCCGGAUAUGGUAGGAGUCGUGCGCCACAUUUUAGGCCGGUAUCCAGUGCGGGGAAGGUUUUGCCUUGACUCCGGUUCCCUUUUGCCUUCCCCUCGUUAGCCUGGUACCGAUUUCGUUCAGGGAAUCGGAGAGGCGCACGACUAUGGCCGCUUAAUGACGUUUUCGCACCGAGGACGGUGCUUGUUUUUAAGGAGGGGAGUGUGUAAUGUUUUGCAGUUCGUUAACGCGCGCUUCUGAAACCAUGUCGUAUCUUCGGAGCUAGUGGAGCUUGAACUUGCGUGUACAACGUGUGAGGUUAUGGCGCGCUAAUAUGACUAUUUAAGCGGACCAAAUUAUGAACAUUGUAAGUCUAAGUUGAGUUUGAAAACCGAUCAUCUGUGCCNNNNNNNNNNNNNNNNNNNNNNNNNNNNNNNNNNNNNNNNNNNNNNNNNNACUUCGUCGAUAUGUUCACCAAGCAAGCCCACUUCGCACUCACCAACAAGACCACCACUGCCCACGACACCGCCCUACUCUUUCUCACCCACGUCUACCGUCUACACGGUCUUCCGACAACCCUCGUCUCAGACCGAGAUUCCCGCUUCAUGUCUGACGUCUGGCGCACCUUCUGGGAGCACCUUGGCACGUCCCUUAACAUCUCCUCCGCCUACCACCCACAAACCGACGGUCAAACCGAGAGAACACAUCGCACUAUUGAGCAGAUCCUCCGCGCUUACAUCCAACCUAUGCAGGACAACUGGGCAUCAUACCUUCCGAUUGCAGAAGCAGCAUACAACAACGCCACCCACGCAAGCACCGGCAUGACACCAUUUUACGCCAAUCACGGCUACCACCCGCGCACUCCCAUCUCCCUCCACGGCCCCCAAGCCGCUCCACCUUCCUCACACCCGCAGGCCACCGAGCUACAGCAGCGUAUGAAGGACAUCCAUGCCACCAUCAACCGCGAAAUCCAAGCCGCCAAAACCCGCUACACUGCCGCAGCUAACCAGCAUCGUCGCUCCAUCACCUUCAAAGUUGGCGAUCGCGUCCGACUGUCCACAGAACACCUCACCCUGCCGACCUACCCCUCCCCAAAACUCCGCCCUCGCUACCUCGGCCCCUUCCUCAUCUCCUCCGUCAUUUCUCCAGUUGCAUACCGCCUUCACCUUCCAGCCUCCCUCGGCCGCCUACAUCCCGUAUUCCACAUCAGCCGUCUUCUCCCAUGGACGGACAACGACCCAGCGCUCUUUCCCGGCCGCCCACCACCUCCACCUGCAGCCCCUACUGCACUAGAAUCCCCAUAUGACAGUGCAGAUACCGUUGUUACAGCUGUUCGCCUAGGGUAUAACAAGCGCGCACACCCGUCCGUCAUGUUCCUCGUGCAGUGGUCCGCUAGUAGUAAACGCGACCCCUCAUGGGAACCAUACGACGACGUGCACAACCUGCCAGCGCUUCGUGCCUUCCUGAGGAGCCCAAGCUGGACCGCGUUCAGGCUAUCAGAUCGCUAUGCGUGGUUCAGAGCCAAGUUCCCGGAGCAUGCCCCAAGGAUCGUACAGUUCUUAGCAGAAUAGAGCUGCGGCUGGAUGUGUGUGUGUGUGUGUGUCAUCAUGUGUUUUCGAUAUGUCUGUGCGUCUUCGUUUUGUUUCUGCCAGUAGAUUACACCUGUCCGUUCAACGUCAGUGUGGUAUUGCAUUUCACGUUUUUGUUCGCGUAUGGGUAUUUGGGUUCCGUAUAAUCAUUUUUAGUCGUUUUCGUAGCAGCUUUUGUGUAUCUCCGGAUUCUUAAGCCGGAUAUGGUAGGAGUCGUGCGCCACAUUUUAGGCCGGUAUCCAGUGCGGGGAAGGUUUUGCCUUGACUCCGGUUCCCUUUUGCCUUCCCCUCGUUAGCCUGGUACCGAUUUCGUUCAGGGAAUCGGAGAGGCGCACGACUAUGGCCGCUUAAUGACGUUUUCGCACCGAGGACGGUGCUUGUUUUUAAGGAGGGGAGUGUGUAAUGUUUUGCAGUUCGUUAACGCGCGCUUCUGAAACCAUGUCGUAUCUUCGGAGCUAGUGGAGCUUGAACUUGCGUGUACAACGUGUGAGGUUAUGGCGCGCUAAUAUGACUAUUUAAGCGGACCAAAUUAUGAACAUUGUAAGUCUAAGUUGAGUUUGAAAACCGAUCAUCUGUGCCUACGCAAGUUUUUCGGCAAGUAAAGCCGGCUUACGCUUCCCAGUUGUUAGGUGUGGCCUGGUUCCCUUUCACUUCCGCAGCCCUCCCCCCGGAGUACAACCCCCCGUGGCAAAUCUCGUAUAAUUUGUCACUUACUACCGGAAGCAAACGAUCUUUGACGCAUAGAAUCCAACGGAAUAAAGCGUGGCUGCUCACGCCGAAGUUGUGCUUCCUCCUCUUCACGCAGACGUCGGGCUUCAAGCACAUCGGCGGACAAUGCAGGGAGCGGCGAAACCAGCUCUAUCCGUAGCUGGGGCGCGAGCAAGUGUGAAGAGUCCGCAUUGAAAGAGGCUUUGUUGCUUAGGCCGCUUGGCCCUCGGAUCCAUGUCCGUUCAAUUACUAUACGGAUGUAUAUAUGGCCAGAAAAGUGGAAUUCGACGAGUAAAUACUGUGUUGAAGGCAUUGUACGAUUUGGCUUCGGAGCACACAUAUAUUUGUAACGACCAUCGCCUGGAACAGCUUGUAAUUUAUAUGCGGCAUAUUCGUAAUGCCGUCACCAAAUUAAAAACACGAACAUUUCCUGUCACUACGGUACUUGAGGUGCUGAUGAAGACUUCAGGCGCACACACUUAAAUGUGCAAUCAUGACUCACUUAUCUUCUCGUCAUACUGCAUCUUAAGCAAGAGCUCCUUCUCGCGAAGUUGGCGCUCCUUCUCGCGAAGGUGGUGCUCCUUCUCGCGAAGUUGGUGCUCCUUCUCGCGAAGUUGGCGCUCCUAUCGCGUAAGUAGUCCAAAUCCUUUUUGUCUGUACAUGUAUUUCGUGUGGCCUCAAUCUGUGACUGGAAUUUCUUGACAUCCCUGUCAAGCUGCUCCAUUAGCUUCACGAUGCAACACCUCCGGCGUGUAACCAGAGCACAGACUACAAGAGAACAAAGUAGAUGCUAUAAGGCCAAUUUGUCUGCUGAGCCGGAAAAGCGGAAAAGCGAAUGCCGUACCUAUUUGCACUAACGUACACGAUAGGAAUCAGAACACAUUGUGGAAUGAGACACAUUGUAUGCAUAACACUUUGUAAUGAGAAUUAUUAUUGAGUUGCAGCAUAAGGCUCCACGGAAAGGAUGGCCGAGAUCGGGCCGAGACCUCGGGCGAGACGAACGGCUGAGACCUCGGGCCGAGACCUCGGGCGAGACGAACGGCUGAGACCUCGGGCCGAGACCUCGGGCGAGACGAACGGCUGAGACCUCGGGCCGAGACCUCGGGCGAGACGAACGGCUGAGACCUCGGGCGAGACGAACGGCUGAGACCCUCACAAAGAGGCACAUACACACCGUCACAAAGAGGCACGUACAUGACCUGUACACCGCAAAUUUUCGGUAACAAGAUUGUGUAUGUGCAUCUAUGAAUCUAGUAUCGUCUACGAAAUAAACUUGCGCUGGUGACUGAAUAUACAGCGAGGCAGGUGCAUCGUUAUGGGAACUUGUUAUGCUAACUUGUCAUCGCGUGAAGCGCCUUGGCAAGCAAACACAGGUCACCCAACGUCCAGAUAGCCGACGUGUCGUUCAGCGUAGGACCUGUCGAAAUGUCGUCGUAACCAGGGCACUCCAUGAACGUUUGGGCGGGGACCCAGCACGAAGCGCCCAGGGGGGCCCCGACCUGUAGGAUUGCCCAUGUCCCGUGUGUGUGUCUGUGUGUGUGUGUGUGUGUAACGGACCAAACAUAAUAUCUCGCCCGGCUGAAACGCGUUAUCGGUACUAUGUAGCAUUCUCUAUUGCAAGGUAUCUCACAUGUAGCUAACAAAGAUCGUGUGAGCACAAACAAGUUUAUCUUACUAGAACACCCAGCUUGUGUUACCAUUUGCCCGCACGGGCAUUCCGACUUGCCACCAGCAGGCCAACAAAUUUGCUUAC